CUAAGUUUAGCUAAAAUUGCUAAGCAAACAAAUACUGAAUAUGACACCAAUGAACAGCUACCAUUGGAAGUAUUACUUUCUAUUGAUCAGCAAGUGAUGUUAAUAGCUAACUUGUGGAUCAAAGUUGGCCUUGUUAAUGGUGCUAUUGGUCUCAUAAAACAAAUUGUAUAUGAAAACAAUACAAAACCACCAGACUUGCCAAAAUAUGUGGUUGUCCAAUUCAAUGAUUAUAAUGGACCUCCAUGGGAUAUAGCACAUCCAAAAGAUAUACCCAUUUUGCCAAUAACGCGAGGUAGGCGUACGCAAGUGCCUUUAACAAUGUCUUGGGCCAUCACUAUUCACAAAUCCCAAGGUCUUACAUUAGAUACAGCUACCAUUGACAUAGGUAAUACUGAAAAGCAAGGCCUCACAUUCACAGCUAUUUCCAGAGUGAAGACAAUUGAUGGAAUACGGAUCGAACCACCAUUCUCUUUUGAAAGGUUUUCCAAACUGCAAAAUAAUCCUUAUACAACCAUUAGAAAGAAAGAAGAAACUCGUUUGCAGCUACUCUCUGCGCAAACAGAUAUCUAUUCACCUUAAAAACUUUUGCUCCAAAACCAUCUUUCUUACAUUCCACUACUUUCAACAAGGUAAUUACAAUUUUACAUUGUCAUACCUCUUCACAACAUGCACUUUCUUAAUCGUCCCUCAUACUAACUCUUUUUCCCUCGCUGUUCAUUUUAGAUUGCAUUCAUUCUAAGACAUCCUCCAUGCUGCAUUGAACACCACACACAAGUCUUCCUAUCUAUACACGCUUCAAUAAUUGUCUACAGAUAUAUCAGGUAUAAUACAGCUGCAAUGCAUUGCGCAUUCACAUCGCUCACUCCUCCAACAUAUGCAGCUAUCUCAGGUAUGAUAUGUCACUUUUAUUGCUUAGAAUGUACUCUGUUAACAAACUUUUAUACUAAUCAAUGUCAAUUAUACAAAGUUAUACACAAUAAAAACAAUGCUAUGCUUAGUAUGUUCUUUUUGACUGCAAAACAUCUGUUCCUCACCCCAUAAUUAAAUUUCUAAGUAUUUUAACACUAAAAUGAAUAUAUUUCUAAUCAGUUUAAAACUUUAUACAACUCGAACAUUUGUAACAGCUUUUAUCAAUCUCAUUGUUAGAGGAACUAUAUAUUAUACCUCUGAUAAGUUUUGUUACAAAAGUGUCUCUUCAAUUCAAAAGUUACUGCAACAACACAAGCAACUCUCCCAGCUACAGUACAUUGCCUCUCCAGUGCAAACCUUCUCAAUCAACCAUUCAGUCUAGAUUUCCUACUGCAAAUUGAAGGAAGGAUGCAAGGCCCGCAACACACCAGGCAACCUGAGCCAAUCUCAAAGCCUCCAAUUUCCAUAUACCAGUUUUCAGGAUUAGACCAUAGCAGAGCAUGUCAACAUAUGAAGGUGACUUGGUGGCAAAAUGCUACUUUACAAAGCACAACACCUGUGUAUUAUCCUCUAGUGACUUUAGUUACAAAACUCUCUAUUCCAUUCAAAAGUCACUACUGCAACAUUAACAACUCACCCAGAGAUACAUAUUAACAGACAACAACAUACCCAUGAUUGCACUCCAUGUCGAUUACAACCAAACAUUUUCUGGCAAAACCUUUGACCGACCACACUAAAUCACCUUUCCUAUUUCACCAAUAUCCAUUCAUUUUGUUCCCCAUAUUUCAGAUUUAAAUAUCUCAAAUCUAUCACUGUGUUGCCCUUGCAAAAAUUGCAGACAACAAACAAAAAAAUUUAGGGUGUUUUCGAACUUCACUGCAUUCCAGAUUUAUGACACUAAUCAGGUCAGUUACAAAGUUAUACACACAAAAAAAAAUGCUAUACUUACUCUGUACUUUUUCUUUGCAAAACAUCAACUUUCUAACUCUUUUAACACUAAAAUAAAUAUAUUUCUAAUCAGUUUUAAACUUUACACUGUUCAAACAUUUCUAACAACUUUUAUUGAUCUCACUGUUAGAGCAUCUGUGUAUUAUCCUCUGAUAACUUUUGUUACAAAACUAUUUGUUCCAUUCAAAACUCGCUGCUGCAACAUAAACAACUCACCCAGGUAUGACAUAACAAUGCUAUGCUUAGUCUGUUCUUUUUCUUUGUUUUUCUUAAUAUGCAUAGAUAGAAAAGAAAGAAAUAAUACUAUCUAAGUUUCUGUAUAUGCUACAAAAAAUUUCUUUCAAUGUACACCAAUAUUAAGCUCCAUCUCACAGUAUCAGAAAUAUUUAACUGUACAAUUUCACAGUUAAAUAGAAGACAACAUAAAACCUGUGGAUCACUGCAUCUUUCCCUCUCAUAUGAAACUUCUGUUUUACAAAUACUUUCCAACUGUGAUUUCAAAGGAAGGAUCCAAGGCCUGCAACACACCAGGCAACUUGAGCCAAUCUCAAAGCCUCCAAUUUCCAUAUGCCAGUUUUGAGGAUUGCAGCAUGGCAGGUGGAUGUCACAAGUUCUGCUCAUCUCAUACAACAGAUUCCUGAGAUUGAUGCUUAACACCCUCUCCGAGACCAAAAUCAACUGGAUUGCACUUCAUUCAAGUUGCAAUAGUUACAAAUUGCCUCUUACAAAACUAUGAAGGUUGACUUGCUUGAUAUACAUGACCUUCCUCACCAUGAUAAGCAAAAUAUAUAUUGCCAGUUCCUCUUUCUUGUCAGGCUUUAAAACUCAGCAGGCGUUGUAAUUUAAAACAAGUUGAUCGCAUUGGCUUUAUGUUGUUGCUCAUCAAGAAGUCAAUCCGUCAUCAGCCAUUACACAUCUUGCAGCUUUCAACAGCUUUCAAAUUAUUUGAUUCUUUCAAACCUGCUAUUUUACAUCUCACAGCCCUAUCUUCUCAAAUAUUAACAUGUUCAAGAUGACGACACCGUUACCGUAUCAUGUUUUAAAGAGUCGUUAAGAUCUAGACUCCCACAGUGACUGCUUACACUUAUUGACAUUGUAACAUUCACGGUUUCUUACUUAUGUUACUCUCUUCCAUCAUUGCUACAUUUCAUUCAAUGUUCCCCUUUGCUGAAAUCCACUAUGUUUAACAACUGAAUUCAAUGAAUGAGCAUAACUUGCUGCUUUCUCUUCA